rnacentral:rRNA from 1 species
GAGUUUGAUCAUGGCUCAGAUUGAACGCUGGCGGCAUGCCUAACACAUGCAAGUCGAACGGCAGCACAGCCCGCAAGGGUGGGUGGCGAGUGGCGGACGGGUGAGGAAUACAUGGGAAUCUACCCGGUUGUGGGGGAUAACGUAGGGAAACUUACGCUAAUACCGCAUACGACCGAGAGGUGAAAGCGGCGGACCGCAAGGCGUCGCGCGAUCGGAUGAGCCCAUGUCGGAUUAGCUAGUUGGCGGGGUAAAGGCCCACCAAGGCGACGAUCCGUAGCUGGUCUGAGAGGAUGAUCAGCCACACUGGAACUGAGACACGGUCCAGACUCCUACGGGAGGCAGCAGUGGGGAAUAUUGGACAAUGGGCGCAAGCCUGAUCCAGCAAUGCCGCGUGGGUGAAGAAGGCC